UAGGGAAUAUUGGUCAAUGGGCGAGAGCCUGAACCAGCCAUGCCGCGUGCAGGAAGACGGCCUUCUGGGUUGUAAACUGCUUUUAUCAGGGAACAAAAAGCUCCUGCGGGGGAAAUUGCGUGUACCUGAAGAAUAAGCACCGGCUAACUCCGUGCCAGCAGCCGCGGUAAUACGGAGGGUGCAAGCGUUGUCCGGAUUUAUUGGGUUUAAAGGGUGCGUAGGUGGCCUUAUAAGUCAGUGGUGAAAUCCUUCAGCUUAACUGGAGAACUGCCAUUGAUACUGUGAGGCUUGAGUACAGACGAGGUAGGCGGAAUUUAUGGUGUAGCGGUGAAAUGCAUAGAUACCAUAAAGAACACCGAUAGCGAAGGCAGCUUACUAGGCUGUAACUGACACUGAGGCACGAAAGCGUGGGGAGCGAACAGGAUUAGAUACCCGUGUAGUCC
rnacentral:rRNA from 1 species